UGAACGCUGGCGGCGUGCCUAAUACAUGCAAGUCGAGCGAACGGACGAGAAGCUUGCUUCUCUGAUGUUAGCGGCGGACGGGUGAGUAACACGUGGAUAACCUACCUAUAAGACUGGGAUAACUUCGGGAAACCGGAGCUAAUACCGGAUGAUAUUUUGAACCGCAUGGUUCAAAAGUGAAAGACGGUCUUGCUGUCACUUAUAGAUGGAUCCGCGCUGCAUUAGCUAGUUGGUAAGGUAACGGCUUACCAAGGCAACGAUGCAUAGCCGACCUGAGAGGGUGAUCGGCCACACUGGAACUGAGACACGGUCCAGACUCCUACGGGAGGCAGCAGUAGGGAAUCUUCCGCAAUGGGCGAAAGCCUGACGGAGCAACGCCGCGUGAGUGAUGAAGGUCUUCGGAUCGUAAAACUCUGUUAUUAGGGAAGAACAUAUGUGUAAGUAACUGUGCACAUCUUGACGGUACCUAAUCAGAGAGCCACGGCUAACUACGUG
rnacentral:rRNA from 1 species